rnacentral:lncRNA from 1 species
GCCGGCCGCAGCAGGCCGCUCAAAGCAGGCGUCGCCGCCAUUUUGUGGUCACUCGCUGAGGUGAGCGGCUCCGGGGCAGGCGCGUUGUGCAGCAGAGCGGGGGAUCAAGGCGGGCAGGGCUUUUUAUUAUCUUUCCAAGGAUCAGGCAGUGGACAUGCAUCUGGUCCUGCCAGCAUUACGAGUGCCGGCCUCCAAUCUGCAGCAGAUAAAAGACAGGGAUCAGAGCCACAUGCCCUAGCUGCCAACCAUGGAGCUCUCAGCAACCUCGAGAUGCGUUCUGGUGUGCUACACAUUUAGCUCUGUCUGCUGGAGAAGUAACAAAGGUCAAAUGAAGGGGUACCAGCUGUACAAACUGAUGUGCAAAGAAGUUACUCUGCAAGGGAUACUUGAAGCACGACUAUGCACUCGGCUCCAUUUGCAGCGAAGUUACGGAUCAGAUGAAGCAUCUUCAAACCAGCGUCUGCUGCUGUGUGGCUUUCCAGAGAGCUCCAUGAUAAGGACAGCCCACGGGAUGGGGGCAGCACGGUGGCUGUGACAGAGGCAGCUGUUACGCAGGUACCAACGGGGAGCACUCAGCAAGCCUUUGGGACAGGAAGGGAAAGCAAUACAGGGCAGAGCAAACACUUGAGGAAAAAACAGCCGUGAUUUUUGAGCCGGAGAGCAUAAUCUGUGAGUAUGUUCCAGACUUAAUGUCUUAGGUUAAAAUUGUUUCUAGGUAGUCAUUUGAGACUUUAUCUCGGUUGAAGGGGCUAAUCCCAUAGCGGUCCUGCAUAUGGGUUGUAUUGGCAGGGCGUGGGACUCAAAAUGUGCACCUUUCCCUGGCCACCUUCCUUACAGCUUCUGUCAAAGCAAACCAGCUGAGUACAGUGACAAGUUUGCCCAAUGCCUCAGCUUACUGGUGGGCCAGCACACCACUACUGGUGUACUGGUUCAGCUUACCCCUCUUGCUUACGCUGCCUCACCUGUCAUUGGCAAAAGAAAAAUUAAGAAAAUGUGAGAAACACGGUUUUCUCAAAAAAUCGUGAAAUAAAUUGUUAACAUUUACUGUAUCCAACUGUCCCAGGAUGAGGGGAACACAGAGGUGUUUGCUGCAACUGUGGGAAGAGAAGGGAAGGAAUAAGCAGAAGUUGUAUUUAU